rnacentral:rRNA from 1 species
CCUACGGGUGGCAGCAGUGAGGAAUAUUGGUCAAUGCGCGGAAGCCUGAACCAGCCAAGUCGCGUGAGGGAAUAAGGCCCUACGGGUUGUAAACCUCUUUUGCCGGGGAGCAAGGGCGGGGACGUGUCCCGGCACGGAGAGUACCCGGAGAAUAAGCAUCGGCUAACUCCGUGCCAGCAGCCGCGGUAAUACGGAGGAUGCGAGCGUUAUCCGGAUUUAUUGGGUUAAAAGGGUGCGUAGGCGGGCUUUUAAGUCAGCGGUAAAAAUUCGGGGCUCAACCCCGUCCGGCCGUUGAAACUGGGGGCCUUGAGUGGGCGAGAAGAAGGCGGAAUGCGUGGUGUAGCGGUGAAAUGCAUAGAUAUCACGCAGAACCCCGAUUGCGAAGGCAGCCUUCCGGCGCCCUACUGACGCUGAGGCACGAAAGUGCGGGGAUCGAACAGGAUUAGAUACCCUUGUAGUC